rnacentral:rRNA from 1 species
AUGCUGGCCUUGAAAGAGAUUCUUAGGAAAUAUGAGGAAGCAUCUGGGCGACGUGUUAAUCUGCAGAAGUUGGCAAUAUUCUUUGGCAAAGGGAGUCAAGAGAAUGCAAAGGUACAACUAAAAAAUAUCUUGGGUGUGGACAAUGAAGCACUCAGCAAAAGAUAUUUGGGCCUCCCAACACUGGUUGGUAGGUCCAAAGAAGGGACUUUCAAAUAUGUUACUGAGUGUUCGAAAGUAAAAGUUAAUGGUUUGAAGGGUCAAGGACUUUCUAAGGCUAUGCGAGAUGUACUUGUCAAAUCUGUCCUCCAAACCACACCUACUUACACCAUGAGUUGUUUUCAUCUCACAAAGAAAAUGUGCCGGAACCUGUCGUGGAACUGUCACGUCAGAUGUCCUCGUGAAAGGACUUAG